rnacentral:rRNA from 1 species
CGGCGAGUGAAGCGGCAACAGCCUCAAAUUUGAAAUCUGGCCUUCGGGUCCGAGUUGUAAUUUGCAGAGGAUGCUUUUGACGAUGCGGCGACCGAGUCCCCUGGAAUGGGGCGCCAUAGAGGGUGAGAGCCCCGUAUGGUCGCACUGCUGAGUCUCUGUAAAGCUCCUUCAACGAGUCGAGUAGUUUGGGAAUGCUGCUCUAAAUGGGAGGUGUAUGUCUUCUAAAGCUAAAUACCGGCCAGUGACCGAUAGCGCACAAGUAGAGUGAUCGAAAGGUGAAAAGAACUUUGAAAAGAGAGUUAAAAAGUACGUGAAAUUGUCAAAAGGGAAGCAUUUAUGACCAGACUUGGGCGUGGUUGAUCAUCCGGCGUUCUCGCCGGUGCACUCUGCCCGCCUAGGCCAGCAUCAGUUCGCUUCGGGGGAGAAAGGCUUCGGGAAUGUGGCUCCUCCGGGAGUGUUAUAGCCCGUUGCGUAAUGCCCUGGGGUGGACUGAGGUCCGCGCUCGCGCUUGGAUGUUGGCAUAAUGGUCAUCAAUGACCCGUCUUGAAACACGGACCAAGGAGUCGUCUUCGUAUG